rnacentral:rRNA from 3 species
GGGUUGUGAGGUUAAGCGACUAAGCGUACACGGUGGAUGCCCUGGCAGUCAGAGGCGAUGAAGGGCGUGCUAAUCUGCGAUAAGCGCCGGUAAGGUGAUAUGAACCGUUAUAACCGGCGAUACCCGAAUGGGGAAACCCAGUGUGAUUCGUCACACUAUCAUUAACUGAAUCCAUAGGUUAAUGAGGCGAACCGGGGGAACUGAAACAUCUAAGUACCCCGAGGAAAAGAAAUCAACCGAGAUUCCCCCAGUAGCGGCGAGCGAACGGGGAGGAGCCCAGAGCCUGAAUCAGCAUGUGUGUUAGUGGAAGCGUCUGGAAAGGCGCGCGAUACAGGGUGACAGCCCCGUACACAAAAGCGCAUGUGCUGUGAGCUCGAUGAGUAGGGCGGGACACGUGGUAUCCUGUCUGAAUAUGGGGGGACCAUCCUCCAAGGCUAAAUACUCCUGACUGACCGAUAGUGAACCAGUACCGUGAGGGAAAGGCGAAAAGAACCCCGGCGAGGGGAGUGAAAAAGAACCUGAAACCGUGUACGUACAAGCAGUGGGAGCACAGGUUUACCUGUGUGACUGCGUACCUUUUGUAUAAUGGGUCAGCGACUUAUAUUCUGUAGCAAGGUUAACCGAAUAGGGGAGCCGGAGGGAAACCGAGUCUUAACCGGGCGUUAAGUUGCAGGGUAUAGACCCGAAACCCGGUGAUCUAGCCAUGGGCAGGUUGAAGGUUGGGUAACACUAACUGGAGGACCGAACCGACUAAUGUUGAAAAAUUAGCGGAUGACCUGUGGCUGGGGGUGAAAGGCCAAUCAAACCGGGAGAUAGCUGGUUCUCCCCGAAAGCUAUUUAGGUAGCGCCUCGUGAAUUCAUCUCCGGGGGUAGAGCACUGUUUCGGCUAGGGGGCCAUCCCGGCUUACCAACCCGAUGCAAACUGCGAAUACCGGAGAAUGUUAUCACGGGAGACACACGGCGGGUGCUAACGUCCGUCGUGAAGAGGGAAACAACCCAGACCGCCAGCUAAGGUCCCAAAGUCAUGGUUAAGUGGGAAACGAUGUGGGAAGGCCCAGACAGCCAGGAUGUUGGCUUAGAAGCAGCCAUCAUUUAAAGAAAGCGUAAUAGCUCACUGGUCGAGUCGGCCUGCGCGGAAGAUGUAACGGGGCUAAACCAUGCACCGAAGCUGCGGCAGCGAACGUAUCACUUAAAGCGAUUCAGCGGGUUACGAUUGACGGAGCGAAGCGACGUCAAAGCGUAUACAAAGUCGAGUCGGUUUAAGGAUACGUUCGUUGGGUAGGGGAGCGUUCUGUAAGCCUGCGAAGGUGGCCUGUGAGGGUUGCUGGAGGUAUCAGAAGUGCGAAUGCUGACAUAAGUAACGAUAAAGCGGGUGAAAAGCCCGCUCGCCGGAAGACCAAGGGUUCCUGUCCAACGUUAAUCGGGGCAGGGUGAGUCGACCCCUAAGGCGAGGCCGAAAGGCGUAGUCGAUGGGAAACGGGUCAAUAUUCCCGUACUUGGUGUUACUGCGAAGGGGGGACGGAGAAGGCUAUGUUGGCCGGGCGACGGUUGUCCCGGUUUAAGCGUGUAGGUGUGUGUUCCAGGUAAAUCCGGUUCACUUUAACACUGAGGCGUGAUGACGAGGCACUACGGUGCUGAAGUAACAAAUGCCCUGCUUCCAGGAAAAGCCUCUAAGCAUCAGGUAACAUCAAAUCGUACCCCAAACCGACACAGGUGGUCAGGUAGAGAAUACCAAGGCGCUUGAGAGAACUCGGGUGAAGGAACUAGGCAAAAUGGUGCCGUAACUUCGGGAGAAGGCACGCUGACACGUAGGUGAAGUGAUUUACUCACGGAGCUGAAGUCAGUCGAAGAUACCAGCUGGCUGCAACUGUUUAUUAAAAACACAGCACUGUGCAAACACGAAAGUGGACGUAUACGGUGUGACGCCUGCCCGGUGCCGGAAGGUUAAUUGAUGGGGUCAGCGCAAGCGAAGCUCCUGAUCGAAGCCCCGGUAAACGGCGGCCGUAACUAUAACGGUCCUAAGGUAGCGAAAUUCCUUGUCGGGUAAGUUCCGACCUGCACGAAUGGCGUAAUGAUGGCCAGGCUGUCUCCACCCGAGACUCAGUGAAAUUGAACUCGCUGUGAAGAUGCAGUGUACCCGCGGCAAGACGGAAAGACCCCGUGAACCUUUACUAUAGCUUGACACUGAACAUUGAGCCUUGAUGUGUAGGAUAGGUGGGAGGCUUUGAAGUGUGGACGCCAGUCUGCAUGGAGCCGACCUUGAAAUACCACCCUUUAAUGUUUGAUGUUCUAACGUGGACCCGUUACCCGGGUUGCGGACAGUGUCUGGUGGGUAGUUUGACUGGGGCGGUCUCCUCCUAAAGAGUAACGGAGGAGCACGAAGGUUGGCUAAUCCUGGUCGGACAUCAGGAGGUUAGUGCAAUGGCAUAAGCCAGCUUGACUGCGAGCGUGACGGCGCGAGCAGGUGCGAAAGCAGGUCAUAGUGAUCCGGUGGUUCUGAAUGGAAGGGCCAUCGCUCAACGGAUAAAAGGUACUCCGGGGAUAACAGGCUGAUACCGCCCAAGAGUUCAUAUCGACGGCGGUGUUUGGCACCUCGAUGUCGGCUCAUCACAUCCUGGGGCUGAAGCAGGUCCCAAGGGUAUGGCUGUUCGCCAUUUAAAGUGGUACGCGAGCUGGGUUUAGAACGUCGUGAGACAGUUCGGUCCCUAUCUGCCGUGGGCGCUGGAGAACUGAGGGGGGCUGCUCCUAGUACGAGAGGACCGGAGUGGACGCAUCACUGGUGUUCGGGUUGUCAUGCCAAUGGCACUGCCCGGUAGCUAAAUGCGGAAGAGAUAAGUGCUGAAAGCAUCUAAGCACGAAACUUGCCCCGAGAUGAGUUCUCCCUGAGACUUAGAGUCUCCUGAAGGAACGUUGAAGACGACGACGUUGAUAGGCCGGGUGUGUAAGCGCAGCGAUGCGUUGAGCUAACCGGUACUAAUGAACCGUGAGGCUUAACCUUACAACGCCGAAG